AUUGAACGUUGGCGGCAGGCCUAACACAUGCAAGUCGAGCGCGCGGCGGACGGGGGAGUAAUGUCUGGGAAACUGCCCGAUGGAGGGGGAUAACUACUGGAAACGGUAGCUAAUAUCGCAUACCAUCAGAUGUGCCCAGGUGGGAUUAGCGGGUAGGUGGGGGAACGGCUCACCUAGGCGACGAUCCCUAGCUGGUCUGAGAGGAUGACCAGCCACACUGGAACUGAGACACGGUCUAGCCGCCUACGGGAGGCAGCAGUGGGGAAUAUUGCACAAUGGGCGCAAGCCUGAUGCAGCCAUGCCGCGUGUGUGAAGAAGGCCUUCGGGUUGUAAAGCACUUUCAGCGGGGAGGCGUUACCCGCAGAAGAAGCACCGGCUAACUCCGUGCCAGCAGCCGCGGUAAUAC
rnacentral:rRNA from 1 species